AUGGAUGUAGCGCCUAAUCAUCCACCUCAUGAGGAUUCGGAUGACGUAUCCAUCACAAAUUCCGAAGUGGAGAGUGUGAUGAAUCAUCGGUGGCUAAAAGAGACCAUGCAUGCUCCAGUUUUUACCGAGCGAAAAUCCGUUGCCCUCAGCUCCGUGGAUGCAUAUAUCCGAGCUUCCCGGGAUAGACUUGCCGGAGUUUCUCACCUGUUUUCAAAAGAUAUGCAGGUUCUCAAAGAGAAAAACAACACGCUGUCUCAGGAGCUUGAAACGAACCGGACACAGCUAAAUGCCGCCACCACAGAGCUAGAGGAAAUGAAGAAAGUCAUGAUGACCAUUGAUCAAAAUAACAAACUGGAGGAGGAAAAGGAUAAGCAAGCCGAAGAGAUAAAGAGCUUAAAAGAUCAACUAUCGGAUGCACAAAAAGAGAAUAGAAAGCUUAAAAGCGGCAUAUUUGGCGUCAUGAAGAAGAAGUGUCCGGAUUCCGAGGCGACAUUCUAG
rnacentral:rRNA from 1 species